CCACUUAAUAACCAAACAAUAUAAAUAAAACAAAAUAGCCUAACACCAAAAACUAAACCAUUCUUUUACCUGAGUACGGGAGACGGAAAAGGUCAUGCCAAAGCAAUAGAGAUAGUACCGCAAGGGAAAGCUGAAAGAGAAAUGAAAUAACCCAUAUAAGCACAAAAAAGCAAAGAUUAAAUCUUGUACCUUUUGCAUCAUGAUUUAGCCAGUACACCCAAGCAAAGAGACCUUUAGUUUGAAACCCCGAAACCAGGUGAGCUACCCCGAGACAGCCUAUCAAGGGCCAACCCGUCUCUGUGGCAAAAGAGUGGGAAGAACUCCGGGUAGAAGUGACAGACCUACCGAACCUGGUGAUAGCUGGUUGCCUAAGAAGUGAAUAGAAGUUCAGCCUCGUGUUCCCCUAAUCAAAAACACAAACAAGACUAAGGGAAACACACGAGAGUUAGUUAAAGGGGGUACAGCCCCUUUAACAAAGGACACAACCUUUACAGGAGGAUAAAGAUCAUAAUACAUAAAACAUACCGUUCUAGUGGGCCUAAAAGCAGCCACCUAAACAGAAAGCGUUAAAGCUCAGACAGAAAGAAGUUUAUUAUCCUGAUAAAAAAUCUUACUCCCCUAGAUACUAUUAGACCAACCCAUGCCUACAUGGAAGAGACUAUGCUAAAAUGAGUAACAAGAAGGCCCGCCCUUCUCCAAGCACAAGUGUAAGCCAAACCGGACCCACCACUGGCAACUAACGAACUCAACCCAAGAGAGUAGUGUGAAUUACAAAAAAACCAAGAAAACCCCACAACUAAGCUAUCGUUACCCCCACACUGGAGUGCCAUUAAAGGAAAGACUAAAAGAAAAGGAAGGAACUCGGCAAACACAAGCCUCGCCUGUUUACCAAAAACAUCGCCUCCUGCGACACAACUAGGUAUAGGAGGUCCAGCCUGCCCAGUGACCACAAGUUCAACGGCCGCGGUAUUUUGACCGUGCAAAGGUAGCGCAAUCACUUGUCUUUUAAAUAGAGACCUGUAUGAAUGGCUAAACGAGGGCUUAACUGUCUCCCCUUUCAAGUCAGUGAAAUUGAUCUACCCGUGCAGAAGCG
rnacentral:rRNA from 1 species